UACGAAGGGGGCUAGCGUUGCUCGGAAUCACUGGGCGUAAAGGGUGCGUAGGCGGGGCUUUAAGUCAGGGGGGAAAUCCUGGAGCUCAACUCCAGAACUGCCUUUGAUACUGAAGAUCUUGAGUUCGGGAGAGGUGAGUGGAACUGCGAGUGUAGAGGUGAAAUUCGUAGAUAUUCGCAAGAGCACCAGUGGCGAAGGCGGCUCACUGGCCCGAUACUGACGCUGAGGCACGAAAGCGUGGGGAGCAAACAGG
rnacentral:rRNA from 1 species